UGUUCAACGCGCGUCAUCUGUUUUACACGCUGUGUUAAUAAUACAAAUAUGUUGAUGUACGCUGUGUUUGCGAUUUAGUUAAACUGUUCAUCGUCCACUGUUGCUCGAUGGAAACUGCUUACAUCACCUAUGCUAUGUUCAUUAUUGGAUAGAGUUUUUGCUGAUGCUGUCUGAUAUAAUUGAUAGUCGUUUAACCUUCUAUAUUUUAAAUUAGCUCAAAUAUGAGAACGCAGCCGAUAACAAUCGUCAGCCCGUCCGAUUUUGCAGACUUCGAACAAUGGUUGAAGGGAUAUAAACCGACGAAAUAAAUCACAACACAAAUUCGGGCUAACAGCAGUUUUGGAACAUACCACAUUAAAAGGACCACCGCAACUGUUACCUAUCAGGAUCGCAGAACCCGACUGCUGAUCUCAAAUUUGAAGAUUAACAAUUCAUUGGAACAUGGAAUAACUAUAUUGGAAAAUACGUCAGAUCAAGCUGAGAAUGAAUACAUGUUUUGUGGGGAGAAAAUCGGUAACUGGAAGUGGACCCUCUCAAGCAGUGAUGAAUUUCACAAAAUGUUCAAAAUACCACGACCGGCAUCGAACCAUGGACGUCCAUCAUUCGCUGCCUGAUACUAGAGCUUACAGAUUACUCGUCUGAGCUACUCAUCCGUUGUCAGAUAUGUUAUUAGGUGGUAUUUCGACAAUUGUAAUAUGUAAUGACAAAUAGUGAAUGAUCUCUUUUUUUAUGUUUUUAAAGAUUCUAUUUGAUGUGUACAGUGUUUGUGUUGCAUUCUAAAAUAAACCGCAAAUAAAUUUCAUGUCAAUUUUAAAUCUUCUAAGCCAAUCUUUUAACUAUAGUUGUCUUGUAAGCAGUAAUAGUUACA